AACGAACGCUGGCGGCAUGCCUAACACAUGCAAGUCGAACGAGACCUUCGGGUCUAGUGGCGCACGGGUGCGUAACGCGUGGGAACCUGCCCUUAGGUUCGGAAUAACUCCCGAAAGGGGUGCUAAUACCGGAUAAUGUCUUCGGACCAAAGAUUUAUCGCCUUUGGAUGGGCCCGCGUUGGAUUAGCUAGUUGGUAGGGUAAAAGCCUACCAAGGCGACGAUCCAUAGCUGGUCUGAGAGGAUGAUCAGCCACACUGGGACUGAGACACGGCCCAGACUCCUACGGGAGGCAGCAGUGGGGAAUAUUGGACAAUGGGCGAAAGCCUGAUCCAGCAAUGCCGCGUGAGUGAUGAAGGCCUUAGGGUUGUAAAGCUCUUUUACCCGGGAUGAUAAUGACAGUACCGGGAGAAUAAGCUCCGGCUAACUCCGUG
rnacentral:rRNA from 1 species